GAGCACUUGCCUUACAAGCAAGGGGUCGCAGGUUCGAACCCUGCAUCCUCCACCA
rnacentral:tRNA from 1 species